GUAGAAUAUAAAUAAUCUUACACACAGCUUCACACAGAUAACACUUUGUAAGAUUUAGAAUGUAAAAUUAAUUACCGAGUCCCAUUGUAAGUAAAGGGUGAAAUUAAGGUUAGGAGGUGUCAAUUCUAGAAUUACGAUUCAAAUUAUAGACACGAAGUCUGGGAUAAAACUGGAAAAGCCAAAGAAAAUGCUUUGAAGUGACAUGUCCUGCGAUUUGUAGCAGGCAUAAAGAUAGCUGGAAAUGAUGUCAAAAUCAUCAUCAAAUUCAGUUAACCCUUUAUGCAUAAUGGCAAAUGGACCCCAUGAUAAGAAAUUUUGCGCCAUCUACUGACCAAAAACUAGAUGAUAGUCUGUAGGGAAGACGCACCCACAGUUCCCUAUUGGUCUUAUCAAUUAAAGGAAAACUCCAGUGCCAGGAAAAUAAUCAGUUUUCCUGGCACUGCAGGUACCCUCUCCCUCCCACCUUCCAUCCCAGGCAGCUGAAGGGGUGAAAACACCAUCAGGUCACUUACCUGAGACCCCGCCAAUGUCCCUCGGCGGUGAUUUCGGGUCAGCGUCGCAACUCCCAGUAAUCACGUCAGCCGGUGGGCGAGACUGAUCCCGUCCACCAGCUGAGGAAACCUAAUGCGCAUUCGCGGCAAUGCCGCGCACGCGCAUUAUGUCUCCCCAUAGGAAAGCAUUGAAAAAGAUUUUCAAUGCUUUCCUAUGGGGAAUUGAGCGACGCUGGAGGUCCUCACACAGCGUGAGGACGUCCAGCAACGCUCUAGCAAAGAAAAUCUUUGCUAUGAGUCAGGAAGUACCCUCUAGUGGCUGUCUACUAGACAGCCACUAGAGGUGGAGUUAACCCUGCAAUGUAAUUAUUGCAGUUUAUAAAAAACUGCAAUAAUUACAAUUGCAGGGUUAAGAGUAGUGGGAGUUGGCACUCAGACCACUCCAAUGGGCAGAAGUUGUCUGGGUGCCUGGAGUGUCCCUUUAAUGACGUACAGAGAGUUUGGCCCUUUAAAAAGUAAGGAUGAGGGAAGAGAGGGACAUUCAAAGAUUCAUACAUUUGGACAUUUUGGGACACUCAUACUCUUUGAGCCAUACUCAAACUCUCUUUGAAACACUUGGACUAUACUUAAACUAUCAACUCUCUCUUAAACACACCUAAUUAAUAAUAAUUUAUAUUGCAUACAAUCACAAUCAUACUUGCAUACAAAUUCCUGGGACCUAUUUACACAUCUGAUAAGAAUAUCUACACAUCUGAGAGAAAAUCUACAACCUAACUGGUAAUUAUGCUGAUUUUAUUUAAUUAAAUUAAUUAAAAUUUUACUUAUAGCAGGAAUAUAUAUUUGGAUAAAUCUUAGUUAGCUAAGAAUAUAUGGUUAUAUAUGGUUAUAAAAAUUCCAUUCCUGCAGGUGGAAUAAAGAUAAUAUAUUAAAGGUAAAUUUACCAACAAGUUAGCAUACCAAUGUUUUUAUCCAGAUGUAUUGAUUUGUUCUUAACCCCUUCCCGACCGAGGACGGUUCAGGACCGUCAUCGGCAUUUUUGGCUUGCCGACCGAUGACGGUCCUGAACCGUCCUAAUGGUCUGAGUUACUUACCUGAUCGCCGUCGUUCCCCCGGCGGCGAUCAGCGUGGCUCCGGUUGUGGGGAGACUGCCUGCAGCCCAGACAGUCUCCCCACACUGGAUUAGGACCCCUGGGGCCAUGUGAUCGCUCAACACAGCGAUCACAUGGUCACAAUAGGUGUCCAUGUGUCUGCCUGCAGGGGGACUGCCUGUGCUGACAGGCAGUCUCCCUGCUAGUGUAAAAUUAAAAAAAUAAAAUAAAGUUAAUGUUAAUUAAAAAUAAAAAAAAUUAUAUAUGUGUAUAUAAAUAUGAUAUAUAGACAUUAUAUUUAAAUAAUAUAUGUCUAUAUAUCAUAUAUAUAAUGUCA